CCUACGGGAGGCAGCAGUGAGGAAUAUUGGUCAAUGGGCGAGAGCCUGAACCAGCCAAGUCGCGUGAAGGAUGACGGCCCUACGGGUUGUAAACUUCUUUUGUCAGGGAGCAAUUUGGUCCACGCGUGGGCUUAGCGAGAGUACCUGAAGUAAAAGCAUCGGCUAACUCCGUGCCAGCAGCCGCCGUAAUACAGAGGAUGCGAGCGUUAUCCGGAUUUAUUGGGUUUAAAGGGUGCGUAGGCGGAAUAUCAAGUCAGCGGUAAAAAUUCGGGGCUCAACCCCGUCGUGCCGUUGAAACUGGUGAUCUUGAGUGGGCUAGAGGUAUGCGGAAUGCGUGGUGUAGCGGUGAAAUGCGUAGAUAUAAGGCAGAACUCCGAUUGCGAAGGCAGCAUACCGGCGCCCAACUGACGCUGAAGCACGAAAGCGUGGGGAUCGAACAGGAUUAGAUACCCUAGUAGUC
rnacentral:rRNA from 1 species